UUAUUUGUUCCAGAUUGACCUCCAACUUGCUAUGUAGCCAAGGCUAACCUUGGACUCCUGCUCUUCUUGCCUCCACCACCAGACAUUGGAAUUGCAGGUUUGAGCCACCACGGCUGGCCCAAAUGCUUCUACAGAACACACUGAAAAGACUUUGGGUCAAUGUGAAAUGUCACCUUCAAGCCAGAAUUUUCUAUCUGGAGGUCUUCCCCUUGGUUAACUAUGCUGGGCACAGAUGGACAGACAGAAUACAUGUGGCUUAGUCUAUCAAGAACAAACCAAUGAUCGCUUCCCAUGUUCCUUAGUAAGAACAGAAAUGGAGAUCCCUUUAGAAAACCAGCGGAUAAAUUUCUCCAUUAAUUCAUCUAGCCAUAUAUCCAUAUCAAACUACAACAUAAUUCUCCAACUACAAAAAAAAAAAAAAAACUACAACAACAACAAAAAUACUGUGAGGACCCUCAUGAAACUUACGGAACUUAGUUCUCUCUCACACACCUUGAAUCCAUAGUUUCAAUCAUGACAGUUAAUCUUAAUUGUCAACUUGAUGGAAAGAACCUGGAUAUCUCUCAAGAGAGAAAUGGAUACAGAAAAUGUGGUGCAUUCACACAAUGGAGUACUACUCCGCUAUUAAAAAUUCAUAAAAUUCUUAGGCAAAUGGAUGGAACUAGAAAAUAGCAUCCUGAGUGAGGUAAUCCAAUCACAAAAAAAAAAACAAACAAACAAACAAAAAAAAACCACACAUGGUAUGCACCCACUGAUAAGUGGAUAUUAACCCAAAAGCUCUGAAUAACCAAGAUACAAUUCACAGACCACAUGAAGCUCAAGAAGAAGGAAGACCAAAGUGUGGAUGCUUUGGUCCUUCUUGGAAGGGGGAACAAAAUACUCAUGGAAGCAAAUAUGGAGGCAAAGUGUAGAGCACACACUGAAGGAAAGGCCAUCCAGAGACUGUCCCACCUGGGGAUUCAUCCAAUAUACAGUCGCCAAACUCCAACAUUAUUGUGAACACUAAGAAGUGCUUGCUGAAAGGAGCCUGAUAUAGCUGUCUCCUGAGAGGCCCUGCCAGAGCCUUACAGAGUCAGAUGCUUGCAGCCAACCAUUGGACUGAGCACAGAAUCCCCAGUGGAGGAGUUAGAGAAAGGAUUGAAGAAGCUGAAGGGGUUUGCAAACCCAUAGGAAGAACAACAAUAACAACCAACCAGACCCCCCCCCCCAGCUCACAGGGACUAAGCCACAAACCAAGGAGUACAAAUGGCUCCAGCUGCAUAUGUAGCAGAUGGCC
rnacentral:lncRNA from 1 species